rnacentral:rRNA from 1 species
GACGAACGCUGGCGGCGUGCUUAACACAUGCAAGUCGAACGGAAAGGCCCUGCUUUUGUGGGGUGCUCGAGUGGCGAACGGGUGAGUAACACGUGAGUAACCUGCCCUUGACUUUGGGAUAACUUCAGGAAACUGGGGCUAAUACCGGAUAGGAGCUCCUGCUGCAUGGUGGGGGUUGGAAAGUUUCGGCGGUUGGGGAUGGACUCGCGGCUUAUCAGCUUGUUGGUGGGGUAGUGGCUUACCAAGGCUUUGACGGGUAGCCGGCCUGAGAGGGUGACCGGCCACAUUGGGACUGAGAUACGGCCCAGACUCCUACGGGAGGCAGAAGUGGGGAAUAUUGCACAAUGGGCGGAAGCCUGAUGCAGCAACGCCGCGUGCGGGAUGACGGCCUUCGGGUUGUAAACCGCUUUCGCCUGUGACGAAGCGUGAGUGACGGUAAUGGGUAAAGAGGCACCGGCUAACUACGUG